ensembl:lncRNA PARD6G-AS1 PARD6G antisense RNA 1
CGGAAGUUGCCGCCCCCUUUCCAUGGCAACACCCUGAUGGCCGAAAGUUACUACCCUUAUUCCAGAAAUCUCUGCAUAAUCUGUCGGUUUGCAUAUAAUUAACAGUGGCUAUAAAUGUGAGUGCAGCCCUGUCCUGUCCUCAGCUGCUGCCCUGGGCGCACUGCCUUGCGGGUCACUGUGGCUGCUCCUGUGCUUCAGCGGGACUAGAAGCUGCCGCCCACGGGCAGCGGGGAAGAAAUCUGGGCAAAGCCAUGAGCCCUCCGAGGCUGAGCUCCAGUUUAGGGGCUCACCUGCCUUGCAUCGUUCCGAGUCCUGUACUGGACUGCAUCAGGCCGCGUCUCCUCAGGGUGAGUACUUGUGGCCUCAGGGUAAAGGGCUUUUCUCAGGACGCGAGGCCAUUGCUGGGAGAGGCAGAUUAGGCUGGGGAUCCGGACUCCGUUCCUAGCAUCUGCUACCUCAGGACGGAGACGAACAUGCUAUAAAAUGUUUAACCGUGUGAUAACAACUCUCCUAGAAAGGAAAGGGGAUGCCCCUGAGGAGACUCGGUGCUCCCCACAGAACUCCCCAGCGAUCCCAGAUGGGAGAAGCUGAGCUGCGCGGGCGCUGCCCUCACUCCGGGGGUGAAACGUGGCUGUGAUUUCCACAGGUGACAGAAACCAGGCAGUGAUUCAACUCGUAUUUGACUUUCACAUUCUCCAGCAAUGUUCUUCAAUCUGGGAAGGGUAGAAAAUUAAAGAAAGGUAAGGAGAGUUAAAAAAUGAGAUCAUUUCAAAGUAGAUGCAGUCUUGAAGCCCAAAUGAAUUACGAGAUCCAGUUUGAAAGCUGCUGCAGAAGUGAUUUCAGAAUCGCGCGGUGGCUCCGGAAUGGGGAACUGCUGCUGAAAGAGGUCGGAAAGGGUGGGGACUGAAUUUCGGGUAAGAGGACGCCAGUGGUUCUGGAGCACGCGGCCUUCAGCCAUGCCUGCGUUCACAAGUACAUUAUUUCAGACUCACUCCAAGUUUACAUCUCUAAGCCCAUCCAAGCCAUGGCAGCGCGAACCUCUCCCUCCCCCAGCUCAAGGCCUCUGGGCCCCCAGGACAGAGGACAGAAGAGCCAGCCCCUCCUGGCUCAGGGUUGCCGGGACCCCGUGAUGGCUGCUGUGCCUCUCCUGAGGUGCCAGGUGAGAGCUGAGACUUCUGCUCCCGCUGCACCAGCUCCGUUUGUCUCCAGGCGCAGUGUCAGUCUCGUUCUUUAAGCGCUUCUGAGGUCCCAUCAGCACAGGUCUCGUCUUACCUGGAAAGGCUUGUUGCCUUGUGCCUGGGACUUUUUAUUCUGUGCUUUUCUUCUGGAUAUUAAAUUUCAUAUCCACGCUUGCUUGUCACUCAGA